UCAAUUUCAGCUGUCAUCGCUCAGCUCUAUAGUCUUUGCAGCAUCGCUGAAUGAAGAUAUGUGUUUGUGUUAAAUGGUUGUGAAACAAAGAGAUUUAUACGAAAUAAAUGAGGCUCGGUAGAGAUUUACUGUUUAACAUUACUCAUGAGUACGGAAGAGACUCUGUUGAAUCUCGAUUUCGACAAACCGAACACAACAAUUACGCCGCCCGAUGACGGUGUGGUAUCUUUGUCGAGUAGUUCGGAGGAGAUUUGUUUAGUGCCAGAGGUCGGGUUCGAGGGCAACGUGGAUUCGCCAGGGGUGAACAGAGAGUCGCAGCCGCUGCUAGGCGGCCGCGGCGACUUCGAAGUUUCUUUCAAUCAUUUUCCAGGCAAAUGGCGGCGCUUGUUAGCCAAAAAUGACCCGCAGUUCAGCGAGUUGGUAUGGCAGGCGGAGGUGGCCAUCGACAAUGGAAUCUUCCCCGAGAGGAUAUACCAGGGAUCCAGCGGGUCCUAUUUCGUCAAAAAUCCCGGAGGGAAAAUCAUAGGCGUAUUCAAGCCGAAAGACGAGGAGCCUUACGGACGGCUGAACCCGAAGUGGACGAAAUGGAUGCACAAGCUAUGCUGUCCGUGCUGCUUCGGCCGGUCGUGCCUCAUCCCCAACCAGGGGUACCUCAGCGAGGCGGGCGCCAGCCUCGUCGACUCCAAGAUAGGCCUCAAGAUUGUGCCAAAGACUAGGGUGGUGAAGCUAGUAUCGGAGACUUUCAACUACCUGCGGAUAGAUCGCGAGCGGUCGCGGCUCAAGCGCGCCAUCACGGAGCAGUUCCCCAAUCUGCGCUUCAAUAGAAUGGGACUACCGCCUAAGGCGGGUUCAUUCCAGUUGUUCGUGGAGGGCUACAAGGACGCGGACUACUGGCUGCGGCGCUUCGAGCAGGACCCGCCGCCGCCGCAUGUCAUGAGGAAAUUCCAGCUACAAUUCGAGCGUCUCGUAGUGCUAGACUAUAUAAUCCGCAACACGGACCGCGGCAACGACAACUGGCUCAUCAAGUACGACUCGCCCUCACUGCCGCCGCCGCAUGCUGAAAUGGACCUUAGGGACCCCAGCGAGUGGACAGGCGCAGAGGUCCGCAUCGCCGCCAUAGACAACGGGCUGGCGUUUCCGUUCAAGCACCCCGACUCGUGGCGAGCCUACCCCUACCACUGGGCCUGGCUGCCGCAGGCCAAGCAACCCUUCAGCCACGAAACCAAGGAGCUAGUACUUCCACUGUUAUCAGACAUGAACUUCGUGCAAGAGCUGUGUGAUGAGCUACAUCUAUUGUUCAAACAGGACAAAGGCUUCGACAAGGGUCUGUUCGAGCGGCAGAUGUCCGUCAUGCGAGGCCAGGUCCUCAACCUCACGCAGGCCCUCAAGGACAACAAGAGCCCCGUGCAGCUCGUGCAGAUGCCUGCCGUCAUCGUCGAGAGGUCUGUAUCAUCGGCCUAGCCGCUUCCUCACGCAGGCCCUCAAGGACAACAAGAGCCCCGUGCAGCUCGUGCAGAUGCCUGCCGUCAUCGUCGAGAGGUCCAAGAGCGGUUCGACGUCGUCUCGUUUCUUCGACUCGUUCCAGCAACGUUUCCAGCACAAGUCGCCCUUCUUCUCCUGGUGGUGAACAAC
rnacentral:misc_RNA from 1 species